rnacentral:rRNA from 1 species
GUGCCAGCAGCCGCGGUAAUACCGGCAGCCCGAGUGAUGGCCGAUCUUAUUGGGCCUAAAGCGUCCGUAGCUGGCUGCGCAAGUCCGUCGGGAAAUCCACUCGCCCAACGAGUGGGCGUCCAGCGGAAACUAUCCGGCUUGGGGCCGGAAGACUCGAGGGGUACGUCCGGGGUAGGAGUGAAAUCCCGUAAUCCUGGACGGACCACCGGUGGCGAAAGCGCCUCGAGAAGACGGACCCGACGGUGAGGAACGAAAGCCAGGGUCUCGAACCGGAUUAGAAACCCUGGUAGUCC